rnacentral:rRNA from 1 species
AGGACGAACGCUGGCGGCGUGCUUAACACAUGCAAGUCACGGGGGCCCAGCAAUGGGUAACCGGCGAACGGGUGCGUAACACGUGAACAACCUGCCCUCGUGUGGGGGAUAGCCGGGCUAACGCCCGGGUAAUACCGCAUACGUUCCUCGCGAGGAGUCUCGUGGGGAGGAAAGCUCCGGCGCGACGGGGAGGGGUUCGCGGCCUAUCAGCUAGUUGGCGGGGUAAUGGCCCACCAAGGCGACGACGGGUAGC